GGGCCGUUAGCUCAUCUGGUAGAGCGUCCGCAUGGCAUGCGGGAGGUGACCGGUUCAAGUCCGGUACGGUCCACUA
rnacentral:tRNA from 1 species